UCAUCCUGUGCUUGGCAAACUGUCAACAGAAAUUUCCCUCAAAGACUUGUUAAAUCAACAAUUAAUUUCUAGGCAAGGUCCAAAGUCUUCUUCAGAAAAGCCCAGACAUGUUGGCAGAAGCCCUUGAGAAAGAUUUAUACCUGCUUCAUGUUCGUGUUACUAUUUUCUCAUUAAAAGUUUAUACUGCCAACAGUAAAAAGUAGGAGAUCACUGCUUAAAAUGAAACCACUAAGUUGUUCUGCAUUCUGAAGGAUGAGUGCUUGGAGGUUCUCAAGGUUAUGAAUCCUAAAAUAUGCCACUAAGGAAUAACACUGCUCCUUCUUCUGGUAUGUUAGGAGAGAGAAAAGAUACUGACAAGGACUGGUCAGGAACCAACAGAAAGCUGAAUGGAAUAUGGGUGUAGA
rnacentral:lncRNA from 1 species